rnacentral:rRNA from 1 species
UAUUGCACAAUGGGCGCAAGCCUGAUGCAGCAACGCCGCGUGAGGGACGACGGCCUUCGGGUUGUAAACCUCUUUUAGCAGGGAAGAAGCGAAAGUGACGGUACCUGCAGAAAAAGCACCGGCUAACUACGUGCCAGCAGCCGCGGUAAAACGUAGGACACGAGCGUUAUCCGGAGUUACUGGGCGUAAAGGGCGUUCAGGCGGGUGAUUAAGUUCGCUAUGAAAGCGCCGGGCUAAACCCGGCGAGGCCGGCGGAUACUGGUCAUCUGGAGUAAGACAGAGGGAGGUAGAAUUCCGCGUGUAGUGGUGAAAUGCGUAGAGAUGCGGAGGAAUACCAGUGGCGAAGGCGGCCUCCUGGGUCUUAACUGACGCUGAAGCGCGAAAGCAUGGGGAGCGAAC